CUGAUGCGUUGUUGGGUAGGGGAGCGUUCUGUAAGCCUGCGAAGGUGGCCUGUGAGGGUUGCUGGAGGUAUCAGAAGUGCGAAUGCUGACAUAAGUAACGAUAAAGCGGGUGAAAAGCCCGCUCGCCGGAAGACCAAGGGUUCCUGUCCAACGUUAAUCGGGGCAGGGUGAGUCGACCCCUAAGGCGAGGCCGAAAGGCGUAGUCGAUGGGAAACGGGUUAAUAUUCCCGUACUUGGUGUUACUGCGAAGGGGGGACGGAGAAGGCUAUGUUGGCCGGGCGACGGUUGUCCCGGUUUAAGCGUGUAGGUGUGUGUUCCAGGUAAAUCCGGUUCACUUUAACACUGAGGCGUGAUGACGAGGCACUACGGUGCUGAAGCAACAAAUGCCCUGCUUCCAGGAAAAGCCUCUAAGCAUCAGGUAACAUCAAAUCGUACCCCAAACCGACACAGGUGGUCAGGUAGAGAAUACCAAGGCGCUUGAGAGAACUCGGGUGAAGGAACUAGGCAAAAUGGUGCCGUAACUUCGGGAGAAGGCACGCUGACACGUAGGUGAAGUGAUUUACUCAUGGAGCUGAAGUCAGUCGAAGAUACCAGCUGGCUGCAACUGUUUAUUAAAAACACAGCACUGUGCAAACACGAAAGUGGACGUAUACGGUGUGACGCCUGCCCGGUGCCGGAAGGUUAAUUGAUGGGGUCAGCGCAAGCGAAGCUCCUGAUCGAAGCCCCGGUAAACGGCGGCCGUAACUAUAACGGUCCUAAGGUAGCGAAAUUCCUUGUCGGGUAAGUUCCGACCUGCACGAAUGGCGUAAUGAUGGCCAGGCUGUCUCCACCCGAGACUCAGUGAAAUUGAACUCGCUGUGAAGAUGCAGUGUACCCGCGGCAAGACGGAAAGACCCCGUGAACCUUUACUAUAGCUUGACACUGAACAUUGAGCCUUGAUGUGUAGGAUAGGUGGGAGGCUUUGAAGUGUGGACGCCAGUCUGCAUGGAGCCGGCCUUGAAAUACCACCCUUUAAUGUUUGAUGUUCUAACGUGGACCCGUGAUCCGGGUUGCGGACAGUGUCUGGUGGGUAGUUUGACUGGGGCGGUCUCCUCCUAAAGAGUAACGGAGGAGCACGAAGGUUGGCUAAUCCUGGUCGGACAUCAGGAGGUUAGUGCAAUGGCAUAAGCCAGCUUGACUGCGAGCGUGACGGCGCGAGCAGGUGCGAAAGCAGGUCAUAGUGAUCCGGUGGUUCUGAAUGGAAGGGCCAUCGCUCAACGGAUAAAAGGUACUCCGGGGAUAACAGGCUGAUACCGCCCAAGAGUUCAUAUCGACGGCGGUGUUUGGCACCUCGAUGUCGGCUCAUCACAUCCUGGGGCUGAAGUAGGUCCCAAGGGUAUGGCUGUUCGCCAUUUAAAGUGGUACGCGAGCUGGGUUUAGAACGUCGUGAGACAGUUCGGUCCCUAUCUGCCGUGGGCGCUGGAGAACUGAGGGGGGCUGCUCCUAGUACGAGAGGACCGGAGUGGACGCAUCACUGGUGUUCGGGUUGUCAUGCCAAUGGCACUGCCCGGUAGCUAAAUGCGGAAGAGAUAAGUGCUGAAAGCAUCUAAGCACGAAACUUGCCCCGAGAUGAGUUCUCCCUGAGACUUAGAGUCUCCUGAAGGAACGUUGAAGACGACGACGUUGAUAGGCCGGGUGUGUAAGCGCAGCGAUGCGUUGAGCUAACCGGUACUAAUGAACCGUGAGGCUUAACCUUACA
rnacentral:rRNA from 2 species